ensembl:lncRNA
GUACACGUGGUUCCCCUGUACUAAUGAUUAGAUGGGCCCACUGCAGGCAGAGGAUGUGUGGAAAUUGCGAAAGUUCCCCCCUUCCUGCUUUAUUUGCUGCCGGAUCCCAGCCUGGAGCCCUGAGAACAGUUGGAUUUCCGAGGCCUCGGGCAUAGCUGAAUGGCCUCCCCCACCAGCCUACCCACCUCGCCCCAUUGUGGGAGGGUCCCUCCCUGGAGCUGCGGGGCAGGGCUGAUCAGCUAGAAGCUGGGCCCUGCCAGGGUUUCUCCUUCUGCAUUAUUGAUCUGCUGCCUGGCUGUGGACGUGAAUAAUUCAUCAGGGAGGAAGCAUGAGAAUGGCAAAUCCGAGGCAUCCGGGCUCCUCCCCGCCUCCAGCUCAGGGUUUACUCCACUCUGCUUAAUGGGCUUCCAUGGAGGCCCUGCUGAUUCUCCCGGUUCUCCUCCUGCUGGAUGCUGGAUGAGCUGUUUGGGGUGGCGGGGGCAGUCGGAGCACAGGAGUGUGGGGAACCCUGGAUGUGGGUGCAGGCCUGCCCUUUAAAAACAUGCCCCCAGAAUCCUCCAUGUCACCCAUCUGCCAACUGGAUGUCAACUCCCAGGACAACUUUGGAAGCUGGUCAUUGAAGACAGCAGAGAUGUGGCCCCUGGGUCCCUGGAUUACUACAUGGAGCAGAGCACCCCCUUCCCCAACUCCAAGCUACUGAUUGGGUUUAUGUGUAUUAUGCUACCUGAGAUUUCAGGAUUUAUGUACCUAAUUCAAUUUCUUUCCUUUUUUGCUACCCAUUUUACAGAUGGGAAAAUUGUUGUUAAGUUGCUAAGUCCAUGUCUGACUCUUUUGCCACCCCAUGGGCUGUGGCUUGCCAGGCUCCUCUGUCCAUGGGAUUUCCCAGACAAGGAUACUGGAGUGGGAAAUGGCAACCCACUCGACUAUUCUUUCCUGGAAAAUUCCACGGACAGAGGAUCCUGGCAGGCUAUAUAUAGUCCACGGGGUCACAAAGAGUCAGACAUGACUGAGUAUGCACGCACACUACAUGCUACUUACCAGGGUAUUGGC